GAUGAAGAACGCAGCGAAAUGCGAUAAGUAAUGUGAAUUGCAGAAUUCAGUGAAUCAUCGAAUCUUUGAACGCACAUUGCGCCCUCUGGUAUUCCGGGGGGCAUGCCUGUUCGAGCGUCAUUAUAACCACUCAAGCUCUCGCUUGGUAUUGGGGUUCGCGGUUUCGCGGCCCCUAAAAUCAGUGGCGGUGCCUGUCGGCUCUACGCGUAGUAAUACUUCUCGCGAUUGAGUUCGAUAGGUCUACUUGCCAGUAACCCCCAAUUUUUACAGGUUGACCUCGGAUCAGGUAGGGAUACCCGCUGAACUUAAGCAUAUCAAUAAGCGGGA
rnacentral:misc_RNA from 1 species